UGGGAGGAAGAAAUGACUACAGAAAUGAUCAGCACAACCGACCGUACUGAUGACUGUUUCCAAUGCUCUCUUGUCUCUGACAUAAUCCAUGGGGAAUUGUCAGAAUGUGCCUGCUGCUUUCCUCAUGGCCUCUUGGGUAGUGAAAUUGACAUUUGGGUUUUUAUUUGGGUGGGAGGGCUGGGGACAGCUUUCCUUUUAGAAAUGUCCAUUAAAAUUUUCCCUUUUAGUUUCCCACCCUCUCUUUCCCAACCCUUAAAGCUAAAUGCGUUGUAAAAUAUGGCCAAAAUGGAAAGUGUUUUGUAAUACUGCAAUAAAAAGCUGCUUGUUUUUUGUGGGGGAAAAAAAGUAAA
rnacentral:lncRNA from 1 species